rnacentral:rRNA from 1 species
UACGAAGGGGGCUAGCGUUGCUCGGAAUUACUGGGCGUAAAGCGCACGUAGGCGGCUCUUUAAGUCGGGGGUGAAAUCCUGGAGCUCAACUCCAGAACUGCCUUCGAUACUGAAGAGCUCGAGUCCGGGAGAGGUGAGUGGAACUGCGAGUGUAGAGGUGAAAUUCGUAGAUAUUCGCAAGAACACCAGUGGCGAAGGCGGCUCACUGGCCCGGUACUGACGCUGAGGUGCGAAAGCGUGGGGAGCAAACAGG